UAAUGAACCCUAAUCUAAUUUCUUCUACCCCUUCAUACAAAGAAGAAGAACUAUGAAAAAUUAUUCUUCACCCUUAUAUACCAAUCUGCCAAUAAAGAGCAACCUCAACCCUAAUCCCCUAUCCGGGCAGCAGCAGUCUAUCCUCACCCUCUCUCUUCCUCGUAGCCGUGCUCUCUCUCCAUCGGUCUUCAUGCAGUAGCAACACGCAUCAACAGCUGUCUUGUCGUUCUCCGUCAUUUUCCUCUCCGUCUGGACAAAGAAAAAAAGAACACAGUUCCUUCACGUCGUUUCAAUUUUGAGUAGGGAUUUGGCGUCGCAGCAAGUUGAGGUGGAGAAGGAGAUUGAGGAGCCAGAAGAUGCCAUUCCUAUUCCAUCUUCCAAAGCAGUUAUGGUUGAAAAGGCAUUCAAUUUAGCUGCACAAAAGAUGGAAUUUAAAUGUGUGUCCAAGAAUUACACAAGCUGAUGGGGAGUCAAGUUUGUUCUAUACCGAAAUCCCAGGAGGCACAAUUCUGCUGCACCGUGUUGAGGAGAAGGUGACAUGGGGUGUUUGCUUGCCCGCAUCUUAUCCACUAGUGAAGCUAAUAGAAGGAAUGCUAAUAAAGUGGUUGUGAACUAAGGCUGCGUUUGUUUGUUUAGACAUG